AAUUUUCAAAUGAUUCUAGGUUUCGUUUGAGUGUAAAAAGGCAACCCAGUUUCUCCAUUUCCACCAAUGAAUCACUCAUCCUCAUCACUAAAAUAAUUGCCUUUUCUUGUCAUCUUUCUUCUUCUCCUUUUCCUCCGCCAUCUCCUCCGCCGUCCCAUCCACCAGUGACGCCCAAUUCUCCUCUUCAAAUCCCUCUCCACCCUCUGAUUUUUCCUCUCCCGGAUCCCCACCGUCCUCCCUCUUCUCUCCACCGCCGCCACCUCUCCGCCCUUUCUUUGGCACCGGUCUCUCCCUUGGCCCCAACCAAUUCUUUGGACACUCAUAAGAUAAAUGCCAACCAACCCGACAUUCCUAACAUCUAGACUUAUCCUUAUAAACCCUUUUCUUAAAAAACUCCGGGGCUCGUCCAUUAUCUACAGCGACGGAAGCGCUGAGCAUUUUGCCGUUGAGUAUUUUCCCGUGCAUGACACUCUCCGCGGAUAGCGCGUCCUCGCGGAGAACGAACUGGACGAAGGCAACCCCCUUUGAAUUCCUUGUGGUGCAGUUUUUGAGGACUGUUACGCAGGCGAUUUUGCCGAAGGUAGAGAAGAAAGUGUGGAGGUCUUAGUUUGUGAGGGAGUAGUCAAGGUUGGAGACGUGAAGUGUUGAUUUCGAUGGGGCCAGACCACCGGAUCCGCCGCUGCCGCCAGUGGAUUUGGAGGUGGCUUGAAUGGGAUUAUAGGAGGAGGAUGACGGUGGGGCGACGGCGGAGGAGUAGCGGAAAUAAAAGGUUUCGUCUUCGUCACUAUGGCGUUUUUGGUGGUCUUCUUUUCAUUUUCUUUAAUUUGGAAAUUCUAAACGGGAAAGCUGUUAGUAUAUACUACUAAACUUGUUAAAAAUAUUAAUGUAUAUUUACCCUAUGGUCCUUAAACUUUAAGUCGCGUAUUAGUCAGAUCCAAAAUUCAAAAAUCUAUUUCCAAGGAAGUCUAAUAAUACGCGACUUCCUUCCAGCACAUGAAUCAGUGGCUAAUUGAAAAGCCAAAAUCUAUCUGCAAUUUCUUGAACUCAGAAAGCUUGUGAAGGAUAUUUGCAUCCAUUCUCUUCAUUUUAUACCAUUAUGGUUAUAACUUUGCAGCAAUCUCCUCACCUGCAACAUGCUGUUGGAACUCAAGGGACAUCAAAGCAACAUGCUACCACGAUAAUACUUGAAAAAAGGAGAUUUUGAUGGGAAUUAUGAAGGGGGAAACUGGGUAUUUAUUCAAGCUAAGUCGAUGACCAAAUAUCUAACCAGAAAGUGGAGUUCCAUUCAUGAAGAAGACAAAAGGAGAAGAAGUGGAUAGAAGAGUGUGUAAGGAUUGAGUGUUCACCGC
rnacentral:lncRNA from 1 species